UACAGAGGCCUCGAGCGUUAAUCGGAAUCACUGGGCUUAAAGGGUGCGUAGGCGGCGCUGCAAGUGCCUUGUGAAAUCCCAUCGCUUAACGAUGGAACUGCUCGGUAGACUGCAGUGCUUGAGGUUGGUAGGGGCUGCCAGAACUCUAGGUGGAGCGGUGAAAUGCGUAGAUAUCAGGAGGAACACCGAUGGCGAAGGCAGGUCUCUGGGCAUUAACUGACGCUGAGGAGCGAAAGCAUGGGGAGCGAACAGG
rnacentral:rRNA from 1 species